CUGGAAUCGCUAGUAAUCGUGAAUCAGAAUGUCACGGUGAAUACGUUCCCGGGUCUUGUACACACCGCCCGUCACACCAUGGGAGUCAGCAACGCCCGAAGUCAGUGACCUAACCGAGAGGGAGGAGCUGCCGAAGGCGGGGCCGGUAACUGGGGUGAAGUCGUAACAAGGUAAC
rnacentral:rRNA from 1 species